AGCGAACGCUGGCGGCAGGCCUAACACAUGCAAGUCGAGCGGCCGUAGCAAUACGGCAGCGGCAGACGGGAGAGUAACACGUGGGAACGCGCCCUUCGGUUCGGAAUAACUCAGGGAAACUUGGGCUAAUACCGGAUACGCCCUUACGGGGAAAGAUUUAUCGCCGAAGGAACGGCCCGCGUCCGAUUAGCUUGUUGGUGAGGUAAUGGCUCACCAAGGCGACGAUCGGUAGCUGGUCUGAGAGGAUGACCAGCCUCACUGGGACUGAGACACGGCCCAGACUCCUACGGGAGGCAGCAGUGGGGAAUAUUGGACAAUGGGCGCAAGCCUGAUCCAGCCAUGCCGCGUGGGUGAUGAAGGCCCUAGGGUUGUAAAGCCCUUUCGGCGGGGAAGAUAAUGACGGUACCCGCAGAAGAAGCCCCGGCUAACUUCGUGCCAGCCGCCGCAGUAAAAC
rnacentral:rRNA from 1 species